CUCGUUGAACUUAAGCAUAUCAAUAAGCGGAGGAAAAGAACCUAACAAGGAUUCCUCUAGUAACGGUGAGUGAAGCGGGAACACCUCAAAUUUGAAACCUGGCGUCCAUAGGGCGUCCGGAUUGUAUUAUAGAGAAGCGUCUUCCACGCUGGUCCACGUAUAAGUGCGCUGGAACGGGCUGUCAUAGAGGGUGAGAAUCACGUCCCUGACGUGGGCUACCAGUGUUCUUGUGAUGCGCUUUGUAAGAGUCGAGUUGUUCCGGAAUGCAGCUCAAACUGGGUGGCAAAUGCUAUCUAAAGCUAAAUACUGGCCAGAGAUCGAUAGCGCAGUAAGUAGAGUGAUCGAAAGCUGAAAAGCACUCCGAAAACAGGGCCAAAUAGCACGUGAAAUUGUUGAAAGCGACGCGUUCAUGUCCAGAGUUUUGGUAGGCACCUCGUCCGGUGCUCUCGCCCCAGCACUCUGCCUAGCUGACACCCAGCAUGGACUUGUACAGAGGGAUAAAACCAGUGGGAAUGUGGCUCAUCGGGCAGUGUGUAUAGC
rnacentral:rRNA from 1 species